ensembl:lncRNA novel transcript
GGCACCCUCUAAACUCUGCAAACUGAAACUGGAACCAUGGUUACCACAUCCUGUUCAUUUUCCAAUUUAGCUCAACCCCUGUGUCCUGCCCAAUAGAAGUGGCACCAUGGCCCCCAAACUCAUCACCGUCCUGUGUCUGGGAUUCUGCCUGAACCAGAAGAUCUGCCCACAUGCGGGUGCUCAGGACAAGUUCUCCCUGUCAGCCUGGCCGAGCCCUGUGGUUCCCCUAGGAGGACGUGUGACUCUCUCCUGUCAUUCCCAUCUUCGAUUUGUCAUAUGGACAAUAUUCCAAACAACUGGGACCCGAAGCCAUGAGUUGCACACUGGCCUUUCCAACAACAUCACCAUCAGCCCUGUGACCCCAGAACACGCAGGGACCUACAGAUGUGUUGGAAUUUACAAGCACGCCUCAAAGUGGUCAGCUGAGAGCAACUCCCUGAAGAUCAUCGUCACAGGUGGACCCCAUGAUGAGGCUGGGAGAGAAGUUGACCCUCUUCUGCAGCUCUGAAAUCUCAUUUGACCAGUACCAUCUGUUCAGACACGGGGUUGCUCAUGGACAGUGGCUCAGUGGAGGGCAGAGACACAGGGAAGCAUUCCAGGCCAACUUUUCUGUGGGCCGUGCAACGCCAGUCCCUGGCGGGACCUAUAGAUGCUAUGGUUCCUUCAAUGACUCUCCCUAUAAGCCCCCAGUGACCCGCUGCAACUUUACACCACAGGAAACACUAAGAGUACUCCUCUGUCAUUCACAGAAUCCACCCCUGAAUCUGACACACCUCGCCCUCAAGGACAGUCCAGCAACCUGCAUAUGCUCACUGGACUCUCAGUAGCCAUCAUCUCCAUUGGCGUUUGCCUCUCUGCUUUUAUUGGUUUCUGGUGUUACAUAAAAUAUCACACCACCAUGGCAAACACAGAGCCCACGGAAGGCCAACGGACGGAUGAAGAGGAGCCUGCAGCAGAAGAGACACAGGAGAUCAUAUAUGCCCAGUUAAACCACCAGGCCCUCUCACAGACAGGAUUCCCUCCUGCCUCCCAGUGUCCCCACUACCUCUCGGAGGAUCCUAGUAUCUACAUCACUGUCCACCAAGCCCAGGCUGAGGCCAGAGCUGCCCCCAGUCUUUGGCACAAAGGGCAUUAAUACGCAAGGACCUGGAUCUAUUCCUAGGAGGAUUUUUUUUCCACGGACAUUCUUCCUCCUUCUGGUACCAUCUUGACACCUCGAAGC